AAUUUCUCAACCAUGGUCUUGAUUUAUUUCUAGUCAUGGCUUGGACUUGGGGGUUGCUGGUUACCAGCUGUGAUCGGCUCUCCUGAAAUGCAUUAGCAAAGGCACCAGCCUAGUCUGACGUGCACGGCCUUGAGACGUGAUAAUCAUUUGAUCGUCCCAGGCUGGAGCGUACUACCUGGGUGGGGGGACCUAUGCUUCUAACUACCGUCGAGCUUAGCUAUUAGUUCUCGGACGAACGCGGCUCUUCGAAUUUCUUGA
rnacentral:misc_RNA from 1 species